rnacentral:lncRNA from 1 species
AAAAUAUGUGGUGACAAGAAAGCAUUGCUGUAACAUACCAUGUGAGGAUGAUUCAAAGAUAAAGGCCUAUAAAAAUUAACGGUCAAAGAAGAAUGCGGACUAGUAAAGCAACAACCACCUUAUUAUAAACAGAGGUCUCUCCCUACUAGAAUGCAAGUUCCACGAGAGCAGAAUUUUUGUCUGCGUGGUUAGAAGAGUAUCCAGUACAUAUAUUUUACAGCUAUAAAAGAGGUUGGAUAGAAAUGGAGAAUAGCCUUAAAAGUUACAACAGACAAUGUCAACGUCUUAAUUUUUUCCCUCGGUGUAGUACAAGCUGACCUACUUUGGAGCACUUGGGCCAUCAAAAUGCUACUGCAACGUUAACCAAGAGGCUGUAUGAAAGCAAGUGAUUGAGAAGCGAUUCAGGCACAUUCUUGGCAACAUAUGCAUCUCCUGUCCGGUUUGCUUGGAAGGCACACACCUGAACAUACGUGAGGAGAGGCUAAAAAGAUUCAGGAUGUACAAGCCUCGCUCCUGGCUGCCUAAGGUGGGACAAAUCAACCUCGGAGAUAUAGCCUGACUCACUUUAAUCCCAGGAUGAGCAUGUACGGUGUAGGGGCAUCAAGUCUGGGGGAAAAGAACAACAGUUUUGUGCUCUCUAUUGGCUGUUGUGAGAGGCUUCUGCCAGUUGGAUUUAUCCUCAGGCUGUCUGUGAUGGUCCCUGACACUUCAUGGCUCACUUCCUUCUGUCAAGUAAUUCAAGGGAAAAAGCAUCCGUACAAGUCCUGGGAUUCACUGAAAUCAAACCAGUUUGGGAAAUAUGUGUAUUCCUGCACCAAACACCAUGAGACCGGCACAAUUGGAAUUAUGCUAAUAGAUGAAUCAUGUGCCAACAAUCAAACUAAUCUUCCUGAUAUAUCCCUCAAGUCAGGAGUGGCACCAUUCCUGAAUCGUACAGACCAAGAAUAGGCAAAUGAUGGUCCCCAAAGGGAACGGGAAUACUGAGAAGCAUUACGGCUGGAAAAUAUCAAUUGUAUUUACUUCUUGCAAUUGAAUACAGUUUCUGUGACAAGGCAUACUAACAUUGUAGAAUAUGUAAGCAAUGACUAUCACCUCUUCUGUAAAGCCAGUCCUGACCCCGGAGAGAGAAAUAACCACUCCAUCCUCUGUGCUCCUACAGUUCUGCCCACCCUAUGAUAUCAUCACAACCCAUUAAUGCCCUAAAUUUCUUGAUUACAUAUAGAUCUCCCCACCCAUGACUGCCUUUUUCACAAGGGUAAAGAAGGUAUCAUUUCCUUCGUAUUUCUCCAUUGAUUUCAUAAUUCCUGAAAAAUAGUAGAACUCCUAAUAAAUGUUUAUUUCUUGAAUAAGUUAUCUCCAUACCUGAUCAUAUAAUAAGCAACAAUGUUGAAAGAUACCAGAUUACAUUAAGGAAUCAAGUGAGACCAGCAGUUAGCCUGAGACUCUACGAUCAAUAUCACUGUCUCUCUUCUCCCCCCAAAUACUA